UGCGUAGGCGGGUCUUUAAGUCAGGGGUGAAAUCCUGGAGCUCAACUCCAGAACUGCCUUUGAUACUGAAGAUCUUGAGUUCGGGAGAGGUGAGUGGAACUGCGAGUGUAGAGGUGAAAUUCGUAGAUAUUCGCAAGAACACCAGUGGCGAAGGCGGCUCACUGGCCCGAUACCGACGCUGAGGCACGAAAGCGUGGGAGCAAACA
rnacentral:rRNA from 1 species